rnacentral:rRNA from 1 species
GAUGAACGCUGGCGGCGUGCCUAAUACAUGCAAGUCGAGCGAACGGACGAGAAGCUUGCUUCUCUGAUGUUAGCGGCGGACGGGUGAGUAACACGUGGAUAACCUACCUAUAAGACUGGGAUAACUUCGGGAAACCGGAGCUAAUACCGGAUAAUAUUUUGAACCGCAUGGUUCAAAAGUGAAAGACGGUCUUGCUGUCACUUAUAGAUGGAUCCGCGCUGCAUUAGCUAGUUGGUAAGGUAACGGCUUACCAAGGCAACGAUGCAUAGCCGACCUGAGAGGGUGAUCGGCCACACUGGAGCUGAGACACGGUCCUGGCUCCGACGGGAGGCAGCAGGAGGGAAUCUUCCGAAAUGGGCGAAAGCCUGACUGAGCAACGGAGCGUGAGUGAUGAAGGUCUUCGGAUCGUAAAACUCUGUUAUUAGGGAAGAACAUAUGUGUAAGUAACUGUGCACAUCUGGACGGUACCUAAUCAGAAAGCCACGGCUAACUACGU